AUUGAACGCUGGCGGAAUGCUUUACACAUGCAAGUCGAACGGCAGCACGGGGGCAACCCUGGUGGCGAGUGGCGAACGGGUGAGUAAUACAUCGGAACGUGCCCAGUCGUGGGGGAUAACGCAGCGAAAGCUGUGCUAAUACCGCAUACGAUCUACGGAUGAAAGCGGGGGACCUGUAAGGGCCUCGCGCGAUUGGAGCGGCCGAUGGCAGAUUAGGUAGUUGGUGGGGUAAAGGCUCACCAAGCCGACGAUCUGUAGCUGGUCUGAGAGGACGACCAGCCACGCUGGGACUGAGACACGGCCCAGACUCCUACGGGAGGCAGCAGUGGGGAAUUUUGGACAAUGGGCGCAAGCCUGAUCCAGCCAUUCCGCGUGCAGGAUGAAGGCCCUCGGGUUGUAAACUGCUUUUGGACGGAACGAAAAGCCUUCUUCUAAUACAAGGGGGUCAUGACGGUACCGUCAGAAUAAGCACCGGCUAACUACGUGC
rnacentral:rRNA from 1 species